GAUGAAGAACGCAGCGAAAUGCGACAAGUAAUGUGAAUUGCAGAAUUCCGUGAAUCAUCGAAUCUUUGAACGCACAUUGCGCCCUCUGGUAUUCUGGAGGGCAUGCCUGUCCGAGCGUCAUUGCUGCCCUCAAGCACGGCUUGUGUGUUGGGCCCCCGUCCCCGGUUCUCCCCGGGGACGGGCCCGAAAGGCAGCGGCGGCACCGCGUCCGAUCCUCGAGCGUAUGGGGCUUUGUCACCCGCUCUGUAGGCCCGGCCGGCGCCAGCCGACACCCCAACUUUAUUUUCUAAGGUUGACCUCGGAUCAGGUAGGGAUACCCGCUGAACUUAAGCAUAUCAAUAAGCGGAGGA
rnacentral:misc_RNA from 1 species